GACGAACGCUGGCGGCGUGUUUAACACAUGCAAGUCGAACGGAAAGGCCCUUCGGGGUACUCGAGUGGCGAACGGGUGAGUAACACGUGGGUGAUCUGCCCUGCACUUUGGGAUAAGCCUGGGAAACUGGGUCUAAUACCGAAUAGGACCACGGCAUUCAUGUGCUGUGGUGGAAAGCUUUUGCGGUGUGGGAUGGGCCCGCGGCCUAUCCGCUUGUUGGUGGGGUAAUGGCCUACCAAGGCGACGACGGGUAGCCGGCCUGAGAGGGUGACCGGCCACACUGGGACUGAGAUACGGCCCAGACUCCUACGGGAGGCAGCAGUGGGGAAUAUUGCACAAUGGGCGCAAGCCUGAUGCAGCGACGCCGCGUGAGGGAUGACGGCCUUCGGGUUGUAAACCUCUUUCGCCAGGGACGAAGCGCAAGUGACGGUACCUGGAGAAGAAGGACCGGCCAACUACGUGCCAGCCGCCGCAGUAA
rnacentral:rRNA from 1 species